rnacentral:rRNA from 1 species
GACGAACGCUGGCGGCGUGCUUAACACAUGCAAGUCGAACGAAGAGCGAUGGAAGCUUGCUUCUAUCAAUCUUAGUGGCGAACGGGUGAGUAACGCGUAAUCAACCUGCCCUUCAGAGGGGGACAACAGUUGGAAACGACUGCUAAUACCGCAUACGAUUUAAUCUCGGCAUCGAGGAUAGAUGAAAGGUGGCCUCUACAUGUAAGCUAGCACUGAAGGAGGGGAUUGCGUCUGAUUAGCUAGUUGGAGGGGUAAGGGCCCACCAAGGCGAUGAUCAGUAGCCGGUCUGGGAGGAUGAACGGCCACAUUGGGACUGAGACACGGCCCAGACUCCUACGGGAGGCAGCAGUGGGGAAUCUUCCGCAAUGGACGAAAGUCUGACGGAGCAACGCCGCGUGAGUGAUGACGGCCUUCGGGUUGUAAAGCUCUGUUAAUCGGGACGAAAGGCCUUCUUGCGAAUAGUGAGAAGGAUUGACGGUACCGGAAUAGAAAGCCACGGCUAACUACGUG